UGGGGAGUAUUGCACAAUGGGGAAGACCCUGAUGCAGCAACGCCGCGUGAAGGAAGAAGGUCUUCGGAUUGUAAACUUUUGUCUUGUGGGAAGAUAAUGACGGUACCACAGGAGGAAGCUCCGGCUAACUACGUGCCAGCAGCCGCGGUAAUACGUAGGGAGCGAGCGUUGUCCGGAUUUACUGGGUGUAAAGGGUGCGUAGGCGGCUAGACAAGUCAGGUGUGAAAUACCGCAGCUCAACUGCGGGGCUGCACUUGAAACUGUAGAGCUUGAGUGAUGGAGAGGUAAGCGGAAUUCCUAGUGUAGCGGUAAAAUUGCGUAGAUAUUAGGAGGAACACCAGUGGCGAAGGCGGCUUACUGGACAUUAACUGACGCUGAGGCACGAAAGCGUGGGGAGCAAACAGGAUUAGAUACCC
rnacentral:rRNA from 1 species